GGUUUUGUCAUCAUGAAAUUUUCAGUGUGCUUCUUAGAAAAGAGCACACAGUUUCUUUGUGGAAUCGUGUGGUCCUGGCACGGAUAUUCUUGAGCCAACGCUGGUGUUUGUCCAUGACCAACGUUCUGCUCCAUCCUUAUCUUCCCGACGUAAGCUCAUCCAGCUUCUGCUUCAUCGCUUCGUACACAAAAAUACAACUUGCCUUGCUUCACUGACGAGUUGGAACACUUCAGCCGUCGCUUCCGUGCCUCUGUUACACACCUGCAGUCACUCACCACGGGAUUAUGCCCAGGUAAUGCAGAGGAGACGUCGAGAAGAUGGACACUAAAAAAUCUCCGGUAUCACCAAAAUGUCAGCGCGGAUCAUCAUUUGUUGUUGUUAAUAUGUUGUUGUUUGUGUUAGUUAACCCGUUGACUGUCACGCCUUUGUUCCCCCCUACCUCCUUAGCACGGGCCUCCUAGAGGCCUCCUAAUAGCGUGCAUUCCAUCUUCCCCUGUCAGCCCGGACUUGUCAGCAAUGGCAAGUCCCACCUUGGUCAUGGAUCCUUCAGA